GUUUGUCCUCACUGUUCGAGGAGAAUAUCAGGUUGGUGGAAAAGUCAUUUUUGUCCAUACUUUUCUCAAUGUUGGAUAGGGAUAACGAUCGGGUUUGGAGCCGAGUGGCUCACAUCAAGAUCAAAAAAAGCGAAAGAAGAGAGAAGAAGAAAAGAGGGAUAGAAGAGAGGGGAAUCUUGCGGCGAGUCUGGAAGGUCAAAAAAAAGUAGAGGAAGAGAAAAGAAAGACAAGCAAAAUAGAGGAAAGGAGAAGAUCUCGGCGAGAAUAGACCGGUUGCAAGACAGUCUAGGAGGUUGAAAAAAGGAGAGGAAGAGAAUCAAGAUCAAGAUCAUACCAUUAGUUCAAAAUCGGUGAUCAAAAUCAACUACGGUGAACAGCGGUCUCUAUCAAAGUUCAAACACUGAGGUCAAAAGAGGGGCCGACGAAUUAAUUUGUCUUCGUUUUGGAAGAGGGAGAAAAGGGUCAGUGUAUUUGCGCGUUCGGGAAAUCUCCAUCAAAUGUAGCUAUCAAGCUGUGAGAUACAGGCGUAGAAGCGUAGCAUCAACUAGUUAUAGAAGUUCUUUGAAUGAAGGCCACUCAAUUGCAAUGGGCAUUGGAUGGAGGAGUUUGUGUGUGUAGUAAAGCACUGGAAUUUCCAUCUGGGAGACGAAGAAGAGGAUGAAGAGCAGCAAUAUCAUUGUUCAGAGAGCCAAAAGUUUGAGGAACAAAUUUUGUCUUCUUGGUGCCUUUUCUUGGAUACGGACUAUGAUCUGGCUUUAAAUCAUGGUCCAUUCUCAACCUGAUAAGCAACCAUUCUCUAUAAGUUCUUCCUAAAAAUCUUAUUUGUGACAUUGGUGAUUCUUUGAUGAAUGUUAAAUCUAUCAAAAAGCUCUCUCUUUCUCGCUGCCAACUUCACAGUAUACAGUCUUCACUCAAGUCAUCUGUUGAACUGAAAUGCUUAUAUAGCUGUUUUUACCCCAAUUCGUUAGUUCUUUCUACUUUGUUUGUACAAAUAAGCAUAUCUUUUGUCUUACUUUUUGUUUUGUGGAAUUUCUGAAGUGCAGGGUUUAGAAAAUCAGAUUAAGUUAUAGGUGUUCUUCAGAUUAAGUUUUUGAUUGGAUUUUUCGACUUCGGAUGACAACCCUUGCAAAUGCAAUUGAAGAGAUGUUAGAUUGCUCAGAACUCAUUGGUAGAAGACUCAUCGAAGCGGCCAAAAUAAGAGCUGAAAGUUACAGUGGAGGAAUAAAACAUGACUUAAGUGUGGCAAUAGCCCUUACCCGAUGACAGAAUUUCCAUCACCUGAAGCUUUAAAACAACAGAUUAUUAUCUCAACCGAACCACCAAAAGUUGGCGAAGGUAAUGACAAGGAUUCAUCUGAAAAACUGGAAAAGGAGUGACAGUGGUAGAUAAACUGAGAACAAAACUGCAGCUGACAUCAAACCUAUCCAGUACGAACUCUGAAGCACCUAUCCAUUAUGGUGUGGAACAUAAAAAAAUUUAUGCUGGAAAAAACAUAGGAUGGUUUGGAAUAGGCUCUAGAGGUUGGUGAAAAAGUAAGACGUCUUAUUUUGAGUUCACACAGGAACAUUCUAAGGACUUACCCCAAAGAAAAUGUUGGAUGGAUGCAUGGAGCUCAAAUGGUUGUGUCUAAUAUGCAGGGAUGUGACAAAGCACGAUGGUUGAUGUAUGGGAUGUUUAGAGCCAAUGAGAAUGCGGUUACUUGAAAAAGCCUGCCUUUUUAUGCACAAGGGCUCAAAUGAUGAGGUAGCCAAUUUUUAGAGGAAGAAAGGCGGUUCUAUCCAGCAUGUCCCACCUGCUCUAAACAAAUGAGAAAAUAACCACAAAGCCAACGUCUAAUCUGCCCUUAUCACGUCAUGUAGCAGGCUGUUUAUAGUAAUAUAUAAGAGAGGGGAGUAGAGUAAGUUCUGAAAAGCAGCUCAACUGAAAUUUCAGAGGAGCUAUCAUCUAUUGCAAAUACGGAUCCGACUUUUGUCACCACUACAAGCCUAAACCAUUUGUUGUCAAGCCUGACCAUGUUUGCUAUAUGUACAUGAACACCUGCUCUCAGUAGCAUAUCUAACUUUGAAAUCUGGCCAACUUACCAGAUUUUUGAACAUGUAAAACAAUAUAUAAUAUAUAAUGUAGCAAUCUUAUAUAGACAAUGUUUCUAAAUUCA